GACUAUACGAUUAAUUGAUCUAAUUCAUCGAAGAAACUGCUACUGCGCAGUAAGAUUGUCCUCGUCUAUAACUCGGCUAAAUUACAAUUCUUUCUCCGCCCGAAAGUUUAUUACUUCUUUUACUUGUUACGUUCUUUUCUGCAUUUUUUAAAUAUAUAUUAUUUCUACUAUAAUGUCAAUCGACCAUUCUGUUUGGGGAGAGGGGAGAACACUCGAGCGAUCCAGUAAUUAUGGGGGGAUACUGAACGUUUCUGCGCGGCCCAGGAUUAAUUUGCCUGGAAGAUCGGACCGCGUGGUAAAACACAGCCAUCACGUGUAGCUUGUGUGAUAGUGACUGUUGGUUCUGGAAGGGAGUCUGGGUUGACAGGUACUUGAACACCUCUCUCCCAUUCUUGCUUCCAUUGAUCAGUAAUAACCCAAUAUUCAUUGGGACUUAGUGGCUCACUGUCAGAGUGGUCUGGGGGUCCAGGAUGCCCCUCCUUGACUGGACGACGCCAUCGUCUCCUCCUCUUCUGAGGGCCCCAUGGUAGCUGCCAGCGACGACGAACCCGACGCUGGGACCAGCCUACAUUUGCGCCUUUUGAUUGCGCCUGGGCAAGACGCCAAAUCAUUGUCGUUUCUAUUUAUUCGUUUGCCUCGCUGUGCCAUUCUACUAUACCAAGUGAGCUAGCGGUACGUGGCACGUGCAGGUGAGCCGCGCACACCCUAAAACAUUUCAUUAUUGUAAAUUAAAUGAAU